AUUGAACGCUAGCGGGAUGCCUUACACAUGCAAGUCGAACGGAGUGGCGAACGGGUGAGUAAUGUAUCGGAACGUGCCCAGUAGCGGGGGAUAACUACGCGAACGCGUAGCUAAUACCGCAUACUAUUGGAGCGGCCGAUAUCGGAUUAGCUAGUGGGGGGGGUAACGGCUAACCCAGGCGACGAUCCGGAGCUGGUUUGAGAGGACGACCAGCCAAACGGGGACUGAGAGACGGCCCAGACUCCUGCGGGAGGCAGCAGUGGGGAAUAUGGGACAAUGGGGGAAACCCUGAUCCAGCCAUCCCGCGUGGGCGAUGAAGGCCGUCGGGUUGUAAAGCACUUUGGGCAGGGAAGCGGUACCUGCAGAAUAAGCACCGGCUAACGACGUGCCAGCAGCCGCGGUAAUUC
rnacentral:rRNA from 1 species